CCUACGGGGGGCAGCAGUGAGGAAUAUUGGUCAAUGGACGAGAGUCUGAACCAGCCAAGUAGCGUGAAGGAUGACUGCCCUAUGGGUUGUAAACUUCUUUUAUAUGGGAAUAAAACGUUCCACGUGUGGGAUUUUGUAUGUACCAUAUGAAUAAGGAUCGGCUAACUCCGUGCCAGCAGCCGCGGUAAUACGGAGGAUCCGAGCGUUAUCCGGAUUUAUUGGGUUUAAAGGGAGCGUAGGUGGAUUGUUAAGUCAGUUGUGAAAGUUUGCGGCUCAACCGUAAAAUUGCAGUUGAAACUGGCAGUCUUGAGUACAGUAGAGGUAGGCGGAAUUCGUGGUGUAGCGGUGAAAUGCUUAGAUAUCACGAAGAACUCCGAUUGCGAAGGCAGUUCACUGGACUGCAACUGACACUGAGGCUCGAAAGUGUGGGUAUCAAACAGGAUUAGAUACCCGAGUAGUC
rnacentral:rRNA from 1 species